GUGCAUUGUAGUCGCAUUGUCUGUCCCACUUGCUCCAGGCAAUACAACUGCAGUGCAAGCU
rnacentral:pre_miRNA from 1 species